rnacentral:rRNA from 1 species
AUUGAACGCUGGCGGCAGGCCUAACACAUGCAAGUCGAACGGCAGCGGGGGAUAGCUUGCUAUCCUGCCGGCGAGUGGCGGACGGGUGAGUAAUGCAUGGGGAGCUGCCCAGUCGAGGGGGAUAACAACUGGAAACGGUUGCUAAUACCGCAUACGCCCUAAGGGGGAAAGGUGGGGAACUUCGGUCCCACCGCGAUUGGAUGCGCCCAUGUGGGAUUAGCUAGUUGGUGAGGUAACGGCUCACCAAGGCGACGAUCUCUAGCUGGUCUGAGAGGAUGACCAGCCACACUGGAACUGAGACACGGUCCAGACUCCUACGGGAGGCAGCAGUGGGGAAUAUUGCACAAUGGGGGAAACCCUGAUGCAGCCAUGCCGCGUGUGUGAAGAAGGCCUUCGGGUUGUAAAGCACUUUCAGUCAGGAGGAAGGGGUGAUGGCUAAUAUCCAUCAUCAUUGACGUUACUGACAGAAGAAGCACCGGCUAACUCCGUGCCAGCAGCCGCCGUAA